rnacentral:rRNA from 1 species
GGUGGGAAGGCGGAUCUCUGGGCCGUUCUGACGCUGAGGAGCGAAAGCGUGGGGAGCGAACAGGAUUAGAUACCCUGGUAGUCCACGCCGUAAACGUUGGGAACUAGGUGUUGGCGACAUUCCACGUCGUCGGUGCCGCAGCUAACGCAUUAAGUUCCCCGCCUGGGGAGUACGGCCGCAAGGCUAAAACUCAAAGGAAUGACGGGGCCCGCACAAGCAGCGGAGCAUGUGGCUUAAUUCGACGCAACGCGAAGAACCUUACCAAGGCUUGACAUAUACCGGAAAGCAUCAGAGAUGGUGCCCCCCUUGUGGUCGGUAUACAGGUGGUGCAUGGCUGUCGUCCGCUCGUGUCGUGAGAUGUUGGGUUAAGUCCCGCAACGAGCGCAACCCUUGUUCUGUGUUGCCAGCAAGCCCUUCGGGGUGAUGGGGACUCACAGGAGACCGCCGGGGUCAACUCGGAGGAAGGUGGGGACGACGUCAAGUCAUCAUGCCCCUUAUGUCUUGGGCUGCACACGUGCUACAAUGGCCGGUACAAUGAGCUGCGAU